rnacentral:rRNA from 1 species
ACUAAGCGUACACGGUGGAUGCCCUGGCAGUCAGAGGCGAUGAAGGACGUGCUAAUCUGCGAUAAGCGUCGGUAAGGUGAUAUGAACCGUUAUAACCGGCGAUUUCCGAAUGGGGAAACCCAGUGUGUUUCGACACACUAUCAUUAACUGAAUCCAUAGGUUAAUGAGGCGAACCGGGGGAACUGAAACAUCUAAGUACCCCGAGGAAAAGAAAUCAACCGAGAUUCCCCCAGUAGCGGCGAGCGAACGGGGAGCAGCCCAGAGCCUGAAUCAGUGUGUGUGUUAGUGGAAGCGUCUGGAAAGGCGCGCGAUACAGGGUGACAGCCCCGUACACAAAAAUGCACAUGCUGUGAGCUCGAUGAGUAGGGCGGGACACGUGGUAUCCUGUCUGAAUAUGGGGGGACCAUCCUCCAAGGCUAAAUACUCCUGACUGACCGAUAGUGAACCAGUACCGUGAGGGAAAGGCGAAAAGAACCCCGGCGAGGGAGUGAAAAAGAACCUGAAACCGUGUACGUACAAGCAGUGGGAGCACGCUUAGGCGUGUGACUGCGUACCUUUUGUAUAAUGGGUCAGCGACUUAUAUUCUGUAGCAAGGUUAACCGAAUAGGGGAGCCGAAGGGAAACCGAGUCUUAACUGGGCGUUAAGUUGCAGGGUAUAGACCCGAAACCCGGUGAUCUAGCCAUGGGCAGGUUGAAGGUUGGGUAACACUAACUGGAGGACCGAACCGACUAAUGUUGAAAAAUUAGCGGAUGACUUGUGGCUGGGGGUGAAAGGCCAAUCAAACCGGGAGAUAGCUGGUUCUCCCCGAAAGCUAUUUAGGUAGCGCCUCGUGAAUUCAUCUCCGGGGGUAGAGCACUGUUUCGGCAAGGGGGUCAUCCCGACUUACCAACCCGAUGCAAACUGCGAAUACCGGAGAAUGUUAUCACGGGAGACACACGGCGGGUGCUAACGUCCGUCGUGAAGAGGGAAACAACCCAGACCGCCAGCUAAGGUCCCAAAGUCAUGGUUAAGUGGGAAACGAUGUGGGAAGGCCCAGACAGCCAGGAUGUUGGCUUAGAAGCAGCCAUCAUUUAAAGAAAGCGUAAUAGCUCACUGGUCGAGUCGGCCUGCGCGGAAGAUGUAACGGGGCUAAACCAUGCACCGAAGCUGCGGCAGCGACGCUGAUGCGUUGUUGGGUAGGGGAGCGUUCUGUAAGCCUGUGAAGGUGUACUGUGAGGUAUGCUGGAGGUAUCAGAAGUGCGAAUGCUGACAUAAGUAACGAUAAAGCGGGUGAAAAGCCCGCUCGCCGGAAGACCAAGGGUUCCUGUCCAACGUUAAUCGGGGCAGGGUGAGUCGACCCCUAAGGCGAGGCCGAAAGGCGUAGUCGAUGGGAAACAGGUUAAUAUUCCUGUACUUGGUGUUACUGCGAAGGGGGGACGGAGAAGGCUAUGUUGGCCGGGCGACGGUUGUCCCGGUUUAAGCGUGUAGGCUGGUUUUCCAGGCAAAUCCGGAAAAUCAAGGCUGAGGCGUGAUGACGAGGCACUACGGUGCUGAAGCAACAAAUGCCCUGCUUCCAGGAAAAGCCUCUAAGCAUCAGGUAACAUCAAAUCGUACCCCAAACCGACACAGGUGGUCAGGUAGAGAAUACCAAGGCGCUUGAGAGAACUCGGGUGAAGGAACUAGGCAAAAUGGUGCCGUAACUUCGGGAGAAGGCACGCUGAUAUGUAGGUGAAGUCCCUCGCGGAUGGAGCUGAAAUCAGUCGAAGAUACCAGCUGGCUGCAACUGUUUAUUAAAAACACAGCACUGUGCAAACACGAAAGUGGACGUAUACGGUGUGACGCCUGCCCGGUGCCGGAAGGUUAAUUGAUGGGGUUAGCCGCAAGGCGAAGCUCUUGAUCGAAGCCCCGGUAAACGGCGGCCGUAACUAUAACGGUCCUAAGGUAGCGAAAUUCCUUGUCGGGUAAGUUCCGACCUGCACGAAUGGCGUAAUGAUGGCCAGGCUGUCUCCACCCGAGACUCAGUGAAAUUGAACUCGCUGUGAAGAUGCAGUGUACCCGCGGCAAGACGGAAAGACCCCGUGAACCUUUACUAUAGCUUGACACUGAACAUUGAGCCUUGAUGUGUAGGAUAGGUGGGAGGCUUGGAAGUGUGGACGCCAGUCUGCAUGGAGCCGACCUUGAAAUACCACCCUUUAAUGUUUGAUGUUCUAACGUUGACCCGUAAUCCGGGUUGCGGACAGUGUCUGGUGGGUAGUUUGACUGGGGCGGUCUCCUCCUAAAGAGUAACGGAGGAGCACGAAGGUUGGCUAAUCCUGGUCGGACAUCAGGAGGUUAGUGCAAUGGCAUAAGCCAGCUUGACUGCGAGCGUGACGGCGCGAGCAGGUGCGAAAGCAGGUCAUAGUGAUCCGGUGGUUCUGAAUGGAAGGGCCAUCGCUCAACGGAUAAAAGGUACUCCGGGGAUAACAGGCUGAUACCGCCCAAGAGUUCAUAUCGACGGCGGUGUUUGGCACCUCGAUGUCGGCUCAUCACAUCCUGGGGCUGAAGUAGGUCCCAAGGGUAUGGCUGUUCGCCAUUUAAAGUGGUACGCGAGCUGGGUUUAGAACGUCGUGAGACAGUUCGGUCCCUAUCUGCCGUGGGCGCUGGAGAACUGAGGGGGGCUGCUCCUAGUACGAGAGGACCGGAGUGGACGCAUCACUGGUGUUCGGGUUGUCAUGCCAAUGGCACUGCCCGGUAGCUAAAUGCGGAAGAGAUAAGUGCUGAAAGCAUCUAAGCACGAAACUUGCCCCGAGAUGAGUUCUCCCUGACCCUUUAAGGGUCCUGAAGGAACGUUGAAGACGACGACGUUGAUAGGCCGGGUGUGUAAGCGCAGCGAUGCGUUGAGCUAACCGGUACUAAUGAACCGUGAGGCUUAACC